rnacentral:rRNA from 1 species
UUGAACGCUAGCGGGAUGCUUUACACAUGCAAGUCGAACGGCAGCGCGGACUUCGGUCUGGCGGCGAGUGGCGAACGGGUGAGUAAUGUAUCGGAACGUGCCCAGUAGCGGGGGAUAACUACGCGAAAGCGUAGCUAAUACCGCAUACGCCCUACGGGGGAAAGCAGGGGAUCGUGAGAACUUGCACUAUUGGAGCGGCCGAUAUCGGAUUAGCUAGUUGGUGAGGUAACGGCUCACCAAGGCGACGAUCCGUAGCUGGUUUGAGAGGACGACCAGCCACACUGGGACUGAGACACGGCCCAGACUCCUACGGGAGGCAGCAGUGGGGAAUUUUGGACAAUGGGGGCAACCCUGAUCCAGCCAUCCCGCGUGUGCGAUGAAGGCCUUCGGGUUGUAAAGCACUUUUGGCAGGAAAGAAACGUCGCGGGCUAAUACCCCGUGGAACUGACGGUACCUGCAGAAUAAGCACCGGCUAACUACGUG